rnacentral:rRNA from 1 species
AAUAGAUACCCCGGUAGUCCACGCCGUAAACGAUGAGUGCUAAGUGCUAGGGGGUUUCCGCCCCUUAGUGCUGCAGCUAACGCAUUAAGCACUCCGCCUGGGGAGUACGGUCGCAAGACUGAAACUCAAAGGAAUUGACGGGGGCCCGCACAAGCGGUGGAGCAUGUGGUUUAAUUCGAAGCAACGCGAAGAACCUUACCAGGUCUUGACAUCCUCUGACAAUCCUAGAGAUAGGACGUCCCCUUCGGGGGCAGAGUGACAGGUGGUGCAUGGUUGUCGUCAGCUCGUGUCGUGAGAUGUUGGGCUAAGUCCCGCAACGAGCGCAACCCUUGAUCUUAGUUGCCAGCAUUCAGUUGGGCACUCUAAGGUGACUGCCGGUGCAAACCGGAGGAAGGUGGGGAUGACGUCAAAUCAUCAUGCCCCUUAUGACCUGGGCUACGACACGUGCUACGAAUGGACAGAACAAAGGGCAGCGAAACCGCGAGGUUAAGCCAAUCCCACAAAUCUGUUCUCAGUUCGGAUCGCU